CAUGAAAAGCAGAGCCAUCCUCGUACCUUUUGCAUCAUGAUUUAGCAAGUAAUAGUCAAGCAAAAAGCAUUUUAGUUUGACCCCCCGAAACCCAAGUGAGCUACUCCAAGACAACCUAAACCUAGGGUAAACCCGUCUCUGUGGCAAAAGAGUGGGAAGAGCUUUGAGUAGGGGUGAUAGACCUAUCGAACUUGGUAAUAGCUGGUUGCUUGAGAAAUGAAUAGAAGUUCUGCUCCUUAAAUUCUUAACCCCCUUCGGCCACACGCCUUACCACAGAUAAAAGAAAAUUAAGAAAGUUAGUCAAAGGGGGUACAGCCCCUUUGAAACAAGAUACAACUUUUCCAGGAGGGUAAAGAUCAUACUUCGCCAAGGUUCCUAGUGCUUUGGUGGGCCUAAAAGCAGCCAUCCAAUUAGAAAGCGUUAAAGCUCAAACACUUCUGCCCCCUUAAUACCGAUAACAAAUCUUAACCCCCUAACCGUAUCAAGCCGUCCCAUUAAGAUUAUGGGAGCGAUUAUGCUAAAAUGAGUAACAAGAGAAUACGUUUCUCUCCCCGCACAUGUGUAAAUCGGAACGGACACCCCACCGAAACUUAACGGACCCAACCCAAGAGGGCAUUGAAUAAAAGAUUAGCCACUAGAAAACUAUACAAAACCCCACCGUUAACCCCACACUGGUGUGCCUCCCGGGAAAGGCUAAAAGGAAAAGAAGGAACUCGGCAAACACACUAAUAAGCCUCGCCUGUUUACCAAAAACAUCGCCUCUUGCGAACUUCGUAUAAGAGGUCCCGCCUGCCCUGUGACCCCUCUAGUUUAACGGCCGCGGUAUUUUGACCGUGCAAAGGUAGCGCAAUCACUUGUCCCUUAAAUGAGGACCUGUAUGAAUGGCAUGACGAGGGCUUAACUGUCUCCUUUUCCCAGCCAAUGAAAUUGAUCUUCCCGUGCAGAAGCGGGAAUAUUAACAUAAGACGAGAAGACCCUAUGGAGCUUUAGACAUCGGCACAGACCAUAUUAACUACCCCUUAAAAUAAGUAGCAUUUACUGGGCUCUGUCCCCGUCUUUGGUUGGGGCGACCACGGGGAACAAAAAAACCCCCACGUGGACAGAGAGAACAUCCCUCCCACAACCACGAGCCACAGCUCUAAACUACAGAACUUCUGACCAAUAAAGAUCCGGCAAUGCCGAUCAACGGACCCAGUUACCCUAGGGAUAACAGCGCAAUCCUCUUUAAGAGUCCAUAUCGACAAGAGGGUUUACGACCUCGAUGUUGGAUCAAGACAUCCUAAUGGUGCAACCGCUAUUAAGGGUUCGUUUGUUCAACGAUUAAAGUCUU
rnacentral:rRNA from 1 species